CGUCAUUCCUGCCGGGGUUCACUGUGAGGUGGCCGCCAUCUUGCGUACGGAGUGCGGCUUGUUACCUCGAUCCUGACCGCUGGGCUUUUAGUUCUUACAGAUCUCCGCUUUGUGGCUUUCCUUUCACCUUCAAGGUGUCCUUUUAGAAGAAGAUUUUAUUGGGAGGUCGAUGCAGAGCUGUGGAGUAAAAUGCCUUAUGAUGAAAUUGAAGCUAAAUUCUUGGGACCUAGAGAAGAAGUAACAAGUGAACCACGCUAUAAAAAAUUGAAGUCAACUGCAGAGGCUUACAUUUUUCCUCAUCAUACUAGUGCUGACUUCCACAAAAACCAAGAGAAAACUGGAAAUGGUUGGGUCCCUGUGAGCAUCACUGACGUCAGAGGAUGUAGUUCUUUUCAGGAGGAAAAAACCAAAACUACUGAUUUACUGAGACCUUUACAUGAUGUAGUGCCUGCUAAUAGAUCAGAUGUUGUUGCAUCCAUUGAUUCACAAGUUUUACAGGUUGCAGGUCCUCCAUUACUGUCCACAGAUGAUGGGAUAUAUAGCACAAGUAAAGCAUUUAUAGGACCCAUUUACAAACCCCCUGAGAAAAAGAAAUGUAAAGAAAGGAGGAAUAAGGCAGACGACCUCACUGGUAUAAAUGACAAAGGAGGACAAAAAGAGAAACAGAAACUUAAGAAAUCAGAGAUUGACGAUGAAUUAUUCCAGUUUUACAAAGAAAUUGAAGAGCUUGAGAAUGAAAAAGAGGAUUUGGAAAACAAUUGUAAGGAACCCGAACUUCCUCAGGAACAAUUUAUGCCCUAUUAUCAGGGCCAUAAUAAUGAUCUUUUAAAAUCUGAUGAAGAAAAGAAAGAGCUUAGUAAUGCUCUUCAGUUACAUUGUGGUUAUCAACAGAGCUUGGAGGAUGACCCCAGCAAAUAUCCCUGUAAUGGACAAGUAAUAACUACAUUUUGUGAUUUUCCUUUUACUUCCUUCAGGCCUGAAUGGCAGUCAAUGCAUCCUUUUAUAGAACCCCAUGGUCCUCCUCUCCCCAGUUUGAACUAUCAUUUAAAUAUUCAAAGAUUUACUGCUCCACCGAAUCCACCAUUAAGUAUUUUCCAAGCCCAAGAUGACUGUCAAAUGCAAAAUGGAUAUUUUGUAGAUAGUUGUAAUGUUAACUGGAAUUGUUUGACUUUUGAUCAGAGCAGUGAGUAUACUGACUAUUGUGAGACUAGCAGUAGCAUUCAUCCCUCUAGAAAUGACUGCAGUAUGCAAGGUGGAUAUAUGAGUAAUGGUUUCUGUGAAAUCAGAGAAGGAUAUUGGAAAGAUCUUUCUAUGGACAAACAUAAUGCAACAGACAGGUUUGUGAACCAGCAUUUUCAAGAGGAAAAGUUAAAUAAAUUGCAGAAGAUACUUAUUCUUUUAAGAGGCUUGCCUGGUUCUGGGAAAACAACAUUGUCUCGAAUUCUGCUUGGUCAGAGUCGUGAUGGCAUUGUGUUCAGCACUGAUGACUAUUUUCACCAUCAAGAUGGGUACAGGUAUAAUGUUAAUCAACUUGGUGAUGCCCAUGACUGGAACCAGAACAGAGCAAAACAAGCUAUUGAUCAGGGGAGAUCUCCAGUUAUAAUAGACAACACUAAUACACAAGCAUGGGAAAUGAAACCAUACGUGGAAAUGGCCAUAGGAAAAGGAUACAGAGUAGAGUUUCAUGAACCUGAAACUUGGUGGAAAUUUGAUCCUGAAGAAUUAGAAAAGAGGAAUAAACAUGGUGUGUCUCGAAAGAAGAUUGCUCAGAUGUUGGAUCGUUAUGAAUAUCAAAUGUCCAUCUCUAUUGUAAUGAAUUCAGUGGAACCAUCACACAAAAGCACACAAAGACCUCUUCCUCCAGAUGGGAGACAGAGGUGUGACUUGAAGAAAUGUAAAAAUUUCCUAGUAAGGCAGCAACUCAGAGAAAGAGUUUUAAAGAAAACUGUACACAGUCUCAGCAAAACCAAACAGAAGAGAAACAGAAAUCGAAACAAAAAGCAGAAUACUCAGAGUAAAAUUAUGGAGGAAAACUCAUUUAAAAUCUUAAGUUAUCUUACACCAGGUGAUCAGGAUCCAUCUCAGAGUGAAGAGGAAGAGAUCAGAAGAGAAGCAAAAGAGCGUCCUUUCACUGGUGGUCUACAAAAUGAAGUGGGAGCUUCCGUGAAUGGCCAUAAAGAAAAUCGAUGGAAAACUGUAGAUCCUGAAGACAGUUUUCCAAAUGUUAUUUCUAGAGUUGAGUUGGAGAGUACACCAAAGAAUUACCUCCGUAAGGAAGGUGAUGACUGGUUUCUAACAGUGUCAUCAAUGCCAAAUAAAUGCUCUGUUACUUGUCCAAUAUUGACUCAAAAUCGUUCCUGUGACACAAGUGAUGACUGCCCUGGCAUGAAGGUAGCAAAGCAUAUUGGAAAUAGGCAUACCAGAGGAUUAGGCAUCCAGGACCUAUUUGCUGAACCCCCUUUCUCUUUUAUGAAGAAGAAAGAGGUGAUAGGUAAAAGUCAUCCAGAUGAACCAAUGCUGUGCCAUCAACAUGGAUCCAGAACUUCAGAUAAAGUUUUAAUUGAGAAACAAAGACUACAAGAAACUAAAAACAGUGAUUGGGCUUUUUUCACAGCCAGUUUAUCUGAUGAAGAUUUACAGCUGGGCUCUGAUAGUCAACCCUAUUUUGCUGGCUGGCCUGAGGGACCUCAUAAGUUUGCAUGUGAACAGAGAUCAAAGAAAGAUAGAUCAUGUAAAUUGGCCUGUCCUGAUGGCAGGGAGCAAUUGAUUUCAUUGAUCUCCACUUCUGUAGGAACAUCAGGAUCAGGAAGCAUUUCAGAAAGCAUGAUGGAGAAGCUACUGAUAGAAAAUGAAGAUUUUUCACCUCCACCCGGAACUAUAAAUUCAUUCAUAGAAACAGAAACGUCUAUCUUUAAAAGCUGCUUACCUCAACCAGAUAUGCCAGAGAGUGUCUUACAAUCAACAAAGAAUAAGAAACAGAGGCAGAAAAGCAUUUUCAGCUUGGCACCAAACUUUAACUUACUGGGACAGAAUCAUACUAACGCAAAACAAAGGGAGGAACAUGACGUGUUAAUAGAAAACCAUGGACUAAAAAUUAUUUUGGGAAAUGAAAAAGAUAGAAUUUCAGAAAUAAACAAUGAAAGAGAGAAUAAAAAACUUACGACCUUCCAUCAUCAUCCAUCAUGGUUUUACUUUCAUUUUACAGAAGUUCCCCCUCUAUUUAUUGGUGGGCAAUUUUAUUCUUAUUGCCUGUCAUUUAACAGACGAAGGCACGCUGCCUGUUUUUAUAAAAAUGCUGCUCCUUCUCUUGUGCUGCGCUGUAUCUCUACCUUCUGGAAGGUGUCGUCUACAAGCAAGAAACCAUGUUUGACUUUCAAACCUCAGAUAAGAGUAGCUAACAAACUAGAUGAUGUAGGGUCUCUUUCUUCAGAAAUUCUAAGUAACCAGCCUGAUACUUUGUGCUCUAUGAGGGCCACUUCUGAUCUUCACUUUUUGAAUGAAAGGUUUGAUUUAAAGCUGAAGAGGUGGAAGGAACCUAAGUACUUACUGACUGAGGAUAGCCAAGAUUUAAUAAACACUGACUCCAUUUCCCUUGGGCUACCGUUAUCACAAGGGUUUGCCUUUCAACUAGUAAAACUUUUUGGAUCUCCAGGAGUUCCAAUGGGUGAAUUUUUUUUUUUUUUUCCAGAAAAAGAUCUAGUGUAACAGAAGCAAGAAAUUUUUGAGGUGUUGGUGUUUCUACCUGGUGUUGGUAAUCUCAUGUAGUUUAUUGAUUUCGUGGUGCUUCCCAGCAAUUGAAGUGAGGCCUCAUAGCAAAUGGUACUUGACCUUCAAAGCCCCCACCCCUUGCCACCAAUAGUCUCCUUAAAAGUCUUUGAGUAUGUAGAAAAAUUUAACUCUAAUUUUCAAAGACACUGGGAAGAAUGAAGGAUGGGUCUGGCAAACUGAUUAUGUAACGGAGAUGGGUGGCUUUUUUUUUCUUUUCUUUAAAUCUUUCAACCUUUCCCAUGUUUGGCACAUGACUCUUUGCUUUCUCAUUCACAGUUACCAAGUCUGAGGUGCACAACUAGUAAAGGAGGAUGGCAAAGAUUAAAUGAUGAAAAGAUACCUGAAACAGUUGAAUUUGUUUUUUAAAGGCACCUUGAGAAGGAAGUGGGAGAGAUUAGGAGGGAAUAGACUAGUUGACCACUUGUCUUAUGUUUAAUAAGAUAUUUGCAAAUGAAAAAUAUCUUAAGAUAUUUGGAAAUGAAAAAUCUGCAUGUGAAUAAAACAAGACAAAAUGUGAUUUUUAAAUAUUCUGCAUAAAUUUCGUAUCAAUAAUAAGCAUAUCUAAAAUGCUAAAUAUCUUAAAGAAGAUACAGAGCAUAUACCCCAGCCUUUUCUUAUCUGUAAUACGAUAGCUGAUACUUCCUGGUACUCUUCCUUGGAGACAGAAAUUUUGACAAGAGUCUGAAGCUCUAGUUUCUGCAGUUCUCUCUUUUGCCCUUAUCUGCCAGGGCUUUAUAUUCUAUCUCAAAGCUUGUUUCCCUGAGUUUUUUUUUUUCACUUUGGCCCUAAACUUUUGAUAUUCCAGGUAAACUUGGUCCUAGCACUCAGACCAAGAUUGCCUGAAUCCCAGGGCCCAGGACUCAUGGUUAAUCACCCUGCUCCAUGCCAUCAUGUUUAUCAUAUUUAUAAACUUUGUAAAUAAUCACAUCUUAACCACUAUAACUUUUUGUCUUCCUAGAUUCAGGAAAGAAACAUAUUAAUUUUUAAAAAUUAAAUUUGCUUUGGGGAAUUUCAAAUGGUAAUCGAAGACAUUUUAGAACAGGGAUCUUAGUCCUUUUGCAUAUUCUAAAACUAUAUGCAAAACUUUUUGUGUUAUAUGUAGCUUAUUUGGGAGUAAAUCCAUAGAUUUUAUUAACUUCUCAGAUGGAUCUGUGGCCCAAAAUGAUGAACAACCAUUGCCUUAGAUCACCGGAAAGCAUGAUGGUACGGUUGUGAAAAGACUCUAAAUCCCUUACUGCCUGAACACACAAUAUCAUGAUAAUCAGCAAUGAUCAAGUAUCUGUUAAUUAAACUUCACAAGGGUUUUUAAAGGAAAUAGGCCUCAUUCAUCAGAUAGCUCACCUUCUAAGUGGGGAGACAGGACUAACACAAAACAAAAUUACUAUACAUAGAAAAUCUAAAUGACAAGCUUAUGAAUAUUUUAUGAGUGAGGUUAGCAGUGCUAAAAGGAUUGUUGAAGAGAAUAUGGGGCUAUGGUUUUGUCUGGGAUACCUUCAAUGUGGAAGUGGCUUGAAAGAAAAGCAGAGGGAAAGAAUUUCCCAUUUGGAAAUGGCAUUUGCUUACGAAGUGAAAAGAAGAACCCUAUUCGGAUCCUGUGACUGAUUUGCUGGGCUGAAGUGUAUUACCGGAAUUUCCUCCUUCAAAUCCUUGUUGCCUGAUGACUACGUGGUUCCCCUUGAUGGGAAGACACUGAAGAUGAUCUAUUUGCAAUGGAAAACAUCAGUGGAG